rnacentral:rRNA from 1 species
GUCAACGCUGUAAACGAUGAAUACUAGGUAUUGGAGGAUUUGACCCCUACAGUGCCGUAGCUAACGCGUUAAGUAUUCCGCCUGGGAAGUACGGUCGCAAGACUAAAACUCAAAGGAAUUGACGGGGCCCGCACAAGCGGUGGAUUAUGUGGUUUAAUUCGAAGCAACGCGCAGAACCUUACCUAGGCUUGAAAUCCCACGAACCUGCUUUAAACGGCGGGGUGCUCUUCGGAGAAUGUGGUGACAGGCGCUGCAUGGCUGUCGU